rnacentral:lncRNA from 1 species
UAUAGAUGGUUUUAUAUAUAUAGAGAUUUCUUUUCGUCAAAUUUUGAUUCAAGUUAAACUAGCUAAGCUAGCUAACUGGUCUAGUGUUGAAGGAGGGAGGGAGCUAGCUAGGUCAAGAGCUUAAUUUAGUUUUUCUUUUAGAAGAGAAAUUUUAGUAGAAGUAGAAGUGCAAGUGUUAGCUAGCUAGCUACAUGCAUAUAUAUAGCUAGCAAAGGAAGUAGUGAAGAG